rnacentral:other from 1 species
UUUGCUCUGGGGUAUGCGUGAAUGCGCAGCAGAGGAACCUGUCGAUACCCUAAAUAUUGCAUCCUGGAUCCAAAAGCGUAGUGUGCAAGCCCUCUUCGGAGAAGGAAGCCUGAAGCGUUUUUCCGGGACAUGUUGAAAUAAAUGACGGAUGCUCAGACGGUCUAACGGUGCUUCGGAGCACAU